GACACUUUCGGUGCUGAGCAAGCCACCGACUGCAAGAUCAUUCAGGCACUCUCCUACAAAAUGGAGGCCUUUAGAUUGAAGGACUUGUGAGGCCAAAAUGGAUAGGAGUUCCUGCAAGUUGGUGGUCUUGGAAGGCUCGGCCGAUGUGGUAGAAGGCCUAGCUACUCCAGAAGUACUCUAGAGGAGAGCGUCAAGCUUGACUUCCUAUAAAGGUGCAUAAAGUAGAAAUUAGUAAAGAAGAAUCCAAAAGAAUAACAGAUAAAGAAGUUGUGAUAGACCUGCCGAGAGGAAACCUCAACCAUGUCUUCUGGUUCGUUGCUCAAACCUAGAGAACUUAGUGGCCGAGCCCAGUGUUUAAGAGAGCUUCUUAAUUUAUGUGGCCGACGGAGGCUAUGUACAUUCGAUGGCCACUGAGGCGGCCAAGAAAUAUAAAUAACACCCUUCGGUGCGUAAAAUUGUCGAUGAAAUGAGCGAUCAGGCACCUGGCAUUUUAAUGUUUGCUCUUGGUUUAUAAUCCUAAAGCAGAAAGUUAAUGAUAGGAUGAUAAAGGUUUUUACAAAGGCUAAAGUAACCUCCUGUGGAGGAAUGCCAAGAUUUUGGUCUUGAGGGUGAAUCAGCGUCUCUACUGUCGUUUUGGUUUCGAUAGAAGGUACCGCUUCAUGCCCCGCAUUUGCCUUGGUAGUAGGAGGGUUGACUUGGCCAGC
rnacentral:lncRNA from 1 species